rnacentral:rRNA from 1 species
UACAGAGGUGGCAAGCGUUGUUCGGAAUUACUGGGCGUAAAGGGCGAGUAGGCGGCCUUCUAAGUCAGACGUGAAAUCCCCCGGCUUAACCUGGGAACUGCGUCUGAUACUGGGAGGCUUGAGUAUGGGAGAGGGAUGUAGAAUUCCAGGUGUAGCGGUGAAAUGCGUAGAUAUCUGGAGGAAUACCGGUGGCGAAGGCGGCAUCCUGGACCAUUACUGACGCUGAAUCGCGAAAGCUAGGGGAGCAAACAGG